ACAAACUACUGUAUUGUAGUUACUAGCUAUUUUAUUAACAAUUCAUUUAAUGUUUAGUAUAUUUUUAUGAUGUUAGUAAUUUAUUUAGAAAAUGAAAUUCAAUAUAAUCAAGUUAUUUUACUCUCAUAUGAGAAAGUGAAAUAUGUGGCUACUAUUUGCUUGUAUGGGUAGAAUGUUUUUAUGAUGUUAGUAAUUUAUUGAGAUUUGUUUUUGGAUAGACAAUAAAAAUAUGGAUCAUCUCAUCAUUUCCUUUUUUUCCAUUAAAAAAUAAAAAUUCUAUUAUUCGAUUUGAGUCUACCACCAAUACGUGGAUCUUGAUUGUAGAUAUGAAAU
rnacentral:lncRNA from 1 species